GGCAGAAACCACACCAGCUCUUACGAAGAGCCAGAGCAGGCAGACAACGAUCACCUGAGUACCACCCUCUCUCUUCUUGGCUGAAGAGGGCAAAAGGCUCCACAUGACACAAUCCUGCACUUUAACACUUAAAAUGCAAACAAGAAGUUUUACCCAGGACGUACACACCGUCACAGCAGACAGUGGAGCGUGAUCGACACCCUAGGAGCUCAGGGGAGAGGGCGCUGCUGGCCCAGAGGGAGAGAGAAGCCUGUGGAACAGACGGCCCUGAACCCGGGUUGGCAGGACAGGUCGCCUUUUCCAGAACAUUUUGGAGGUGGCGAGACAGAUGUAGGAUCUGGGACAGAACUCGGUUUUGAAUUGCAGCUCUAGUGCUCGGUAGUUGUGUGUCUCAGACAGGUUCCGCACUUCUCUGUGCUCAUUCCAUCAGCCUCACAAUGGGGACCACGACUGUCCCUGUCCAGGGACAGCCAAAACCUGGAACACUGGCCAGUGUCCCGCCGACUGCCGCCUCCACAUUGACUGUACUGCUCCUCCUUGCCCUCACUGUCUCCACCAGGGUCUUUUGGGUGGGGGUGCAGGCCUGCCUGGCCCUCGACCCCGCUUCCUGCUUGGACCUAGCUGUUUCUAGAUCUUCCUGUGGGAGAUUCUUUCCCAUCAUGUAGUCUCAGCUGAAAUAUUACCUCCCGCCAAGGGGCCUUUUCAGGGCACCUCUGCCUCACCCUAUUUCGCUGUUCCAUUUUCCUUUGUUCAUAGCAGGUCUCAGUCCUGAAAUCACUUAUUACUUUAUACUCACUGGCUUAUGUUUUCAUUAUCUGUCUUCCCCUCAGUGACUGUUGCCUCAUGGAGAUAUUCUGUCUGUUGCUCACAUCUACUCGGUACCCAGCACAGUAAGCACACGACAGGCCCUCAGUAAGUGCUGCCCUUCCUUGGAGCCAGAGACUGGCCUCUGAUGACCCUGGCAAGGUUGGAGGGCUGGCGAGGAAAAGUGAGAAGCCAAUUUAUCUCAAGGCUCCAGUCCUGAAUUCCCAGAGAGCUCCAUGGCCACGCCUGGAAAUGGGGACUGAGGAGUCGGAGCACCUGGUGAGGACCAGGAAGGUCCAUCCUGGUGCUCAACAGAAGUUUGUUGGAUCCAUGCGUGGAUGGGUGGAUGCAUGGAUGGAUGGAUGGACAAACAGGCAGAUUGAGAGUGGAAGGCGGAGCAGUGGUUGGCCAGUGACCAGGGGACCAGUGAACCUACCGGUAAAGCCUGAACAAGCUGUUUAAUGUCUGAAUGGGAAAACACUUCUUCCUCUCCUUGAUGCAGUGACUCCGUUUCCCUGUCUGUGGGAGGCAUCGCUUCCUGGGCAGCUGGAAAUAAAAUCACAGACAGGAAAACAAAAUCACCUUCUGGCUCGCAGCAAUCCAAGACACCAAUCUUCAAAAGGAGUCAGCAAAAGUACGCCCUCCCAGUACUGCUCCAGUGGUCUGCACACACCCAGGAGAAAAACUAGAAAAAAAGUCCUAUCAUUUAUAUGGAACCAGAAGAGAUGCAGAAUAGCAAAAUUAAUCCUGAGCAACAAGAGCAAAGCAGGAGGCAUCACAAUCCCAGAUUUCAAGUUAUAUUGCAAAGCCACAGAGAUACAAAAACAGCACGGUACGGGCACAAAGACAGACAUGAAGGUCAAGGGAAAAGAAUAGAGAUGCAGAAACAACCCCAGGCACAUUCAGCCAUCUGAUCUUCAACAAAGAAACCAAAAACAUACACUGGAGGAAAGACAGUCUCUUUAACAAAUGGUGAUGGGAAAACUGGUUAUCCACAUGCAGAAGAUUGAAUCUAGAUCAGAAUCUCUCACUGUGUACCAAAAUCAAAUCAAAAUGGUUCAAAGACAUAUUUAAGAAAACACAAAAUCUGCUGCAAGACUAUAUUAAUUACUUUCUUGUUGCUGAGACACAAUACUUGACACCUGUAAUGUAAAUGAGGAGAGAUUUAUUUUGGUUCAUGGUUUGAAUUCAUGAUCUGCUGGCUCCACAGCAGAAGCAACACAGUGGAAGGACGUACUGAAGGAAAUUGGCUCAGGUUAUGCCAUCCAGGAAGCAGAGGGAGAAGGAAAGGAGAAAAACCCUUCCAGGUCAUGCGUCCUGUAACAUGCCUCUUUUUUGUUUGUUUGUUUUGUUUGUAACAUGCCUCUUCCAACCAGGAUCACUUCUUAACAGCAAGUCAGCUGUAUUGCUCCCAUGAUCCAAUCUUCUUCCAAAAGCUUCACUUUAUAAGCACAUGAAGCCUUUGGGAAACAUCAGGAUAUAAGCCAUAACAAAGCUAAAAGUCGUAAACUCUUGAUGGCACAGCAUCCCAAUUACACAAGAAACAAUACUGACAAUCACAGAUGGGAUCAUAUCAAAUUAAAAAGCUUCUGCAUAGCAAAGCAGACAACCAACAGAAUGAAGAGACAACCUACAGAAAGGGAGAAAAUUGCCAACUACUCCUCAAAGGACUAAUAUCUAGUAUAUAAAAGAACGAAAAAGAAUUAGACCUCCCCAAAUAAAAGACCCAACCAAAAAGUGGGGAGCUGAGCUGGGGAUUUAGCUCAGUGGUCCAGUGCCUGUCUUGCAAGCACAAGUUCCCGAGUUUGAUCCCCAGUACCAAAAAAAAAUGGGGAGCUGAAAUGAAUAGACACUUCUCAAAUGAAGUACAAAUGGCCAGUGAUUACAUUAAAAAGAGCUCAACAUCUUUGUCCAUUAGAGAAAUGCAAAUGAAAACAACACUGAGAUUGUAUCUUACUCCAGAAAGAAUGGCUAUCACCAAGAAAUCAAAUAAUAACAAAUGCUAGCAAGGCUGGAGGGAAAAGGGAACUCUUAUUGUUAGUGGGAAUGUAAACUAGUACAACCACUGUGGAAAUCAGUAUGGAGAUUCCUCAAAAAACUAAACCUAGAAAAUACUAAACCUUCUAGAUACUGUAUCUUCCCAAAAGAUUUAAAGACACUGUAUUACAGUGGUCCGUGAACACCCGUGUUUACAGCAGCCCAACUCAUAAUAGCUAAAUCUUGGAAGUUGCCUACAGUCCCAUCAACAGAUGAAUGGAUAAAGAAAAUAUGAUAUAUAUACACCAUGGAGUACUACCCAAACAUACAUAAAGAAGGAUAACUUUGAGUCACUCAUGGGAAAAUGGAUAGAACCAUCAUGCUAAACUAAAUAAAUCAGAUACAGAAGGUUAAAUAUCACAUGGUUUCUCUUAUAUGAGAAACCCAAAGUAUAAAUAAUUUAGGAGCAAAAUAAAUGAUAAACAAUAAAAAACAGAGAGUAGAAACAGGGAGAUCUGAGGACAGGGAGAGACAGGAGGGGUGGCAGAGGAAGGGGAAAUAGGAUCAAGAAACAAUGCGUAUAUGUACCAAUUCCCCACGAUGAAUACAUUCAUUGUGUAUGGCAAAUGUAUAAAAAGGGGGAGAAGAAAAAACCUCAAAUCUACUAGUAUUAUUUUAAUAUUGAAUUACAUAUGGAGCUGGAAGGCACCACAGUCUUCAGUAACUAGGGCUCCUUGAUGUAUUAAUCUGGUUAUGGGAAAACUACGCUAGAGCCAUAGGUAGGAGGGAACCGAAGAGCACCGGCCCCGCGCGCAAGCGCUCUCAGGCGCUGGCCACGGGAGCUGGGACACAAGGUUGGUGUCCGCGGAAGUCGCGGUGGACGCGUGCUCUCCGCGCCGCGUGAGGCUGCUUGGGCCCGGAGGGGACAGCCAGCCUCGUGAGGAGCGGGGCGCGGGCUGUGGGCCGAGGACUCCCAAGAGCAGCGCUCAAGCAGAGCGGCGGCAUGCGCAGGUUUGUUUUCAGACAGAAGCCCUGGAAGGAGGUUGGGGUGGCAAUGGAUGAAAGAGAAAGUACUGACCAGAAGCUUAAAGGCCCUGUGGAGAGAGGACCAAGGCCCCAGGCGCUGGGAGAUGCACAGCCGGGGGCGUGAGCGCCCCUCUGAGGUGAGUGGGGGACCUCGCCCUUAGGGGGCGAGGAAGCCAGGGCAAAGGCUACUUCCUUUGCUGCCACUUCCGGCCGCGCCGCUCAUCCGCAUCCGGUCCGAGCCUCGCCUCCGCUGCGCACGGGCUGCACGUGGCAGGGGAUCCUCCCGUUGCCUCUCGCAACGGCUAGGCCCUCGCUGACCGGGGAGAGGCGUGCGGAAGACCACGGUGGACCGGAGAAGGAACGGAGCCGGCCGCGGAGGCUCCUGGGGCGUCAGCAAGAGACCCUUCCCAGAGUGAUGCAGGCCCAGCGCUCUGGACCGCCUGGGCGCUGAGCUGGAGGUCAGCAGAGGAGGGGCAGAGGGCGACAGCCCGACACGGGACAGGGAAGGGUGAAUCAGAAUGUGCAUGUCGAGGGAAGCAGGGGGACUCAAACAAGGCCCCCAGAUACACAACCAGGAGAUGGCCAAAGGUUCAAAGUCUCACCUGGUUGCUGCCCUCAUCUACAUAAGAAAGCGAGUAUAGCUGGUUGUGGUGGCACACACCUGUACUCCCAGCACUCUGGGAUGCUGAGGCAGGAGGGUCACCAGUUCAAGCCCAGGUUGGGGAAGUUACUGACAUAGUGAGGCCCUGACUCAAAAUAAAAAAGGACUAGAGUUACAGCUCAGCGCCAAGGAACAGGGUUCGAUCCCUAGUACGAAAGAGAAAGUACAUUUUCAAGGAAUUUCAGACACAAGACUAAAAAGCCAAAGCAACGUGUGGGCCCCUCCUGUGGCCGUGCACCAUUAGGAGAGAGGAGGGGGAAGAGGUUCCUCUGAGCCAUAGACUGCUCUUCCUGAACCUCAAAACUGAAACUCAACUACUGCCUACCAGGAAGAACAAAAGGAAAAAGAUCUGAUUCCCAGAAGCAAUGAUGAAAUACCUUGUAAAAAGUUUAUUAAAUGUUUAGUAAAUGAGACACCACACACGCAUAUGAACAGUCACACACACAAGCACACAUGUGCACACAAUCACAAUUUAAAUGGGGCCCAGACAUUAGGUUAAGAACACCCCUGGAGAGUGCUAGCAGGCAAAGGCUGAGAGCUCUUUCAUUUUGCUUCCUCAACAGGAAGCGAGUGGAUUUGGGAGAAGCUCCCUUCCGUCCAGCCAUCCUGCUGGCAGCAAAGCUGGGAAGGACUUCCUGACCACUGUCCCAGCCUCAGGAAGUGUGUUAACAGCCACACUGCUUAAAUGCGUAAAAAAGUCCAGAACACUUCAAGGCCGUGUUUGUUCCUGUGGGAAUGUCAUGAGAAUUUAAGACCUUUCCCUUUGGGCUGAGGGAUCUGGCCCACUUCCCACAGCUCUAGGAACCUUAUUUCCCUGGUCAGUGUUUUGCAUUUGCAAUUGCAGAUAAUGCUCUCUCAUUAAUACUGGCAGGAAGGGGCUGGGGAUUUAGCUCAAUGGUUCUGCCACCCGCCUUGCAAGCGCAAGGUCCUGAGUUCAAUCCCCGGUACCAAAAAAAAAAAAAAAAAAAAAUACUGGCAGGAAGCUCCCCUGGGUUGGCAAAGAGGAUACUUUGCACCCUCCACAAAUCCUGGUCGGACUGCAGAGUCCAACCGAGUCACCUGUGUCAUCUGUGCGUGCAGUUUGGCCAUGGUUCUGACAGGUGGACUCAGACAUCCUUGGAAAUGAAGUGAGAUUAUUUGGAACCCAAGAAGGAAGUGCAGGUUUCCUAAACUGCCACAUACAAUGACUUUUGUUUUCCUGUUGGACUGAGAAAAGUACAAAACCAGUUGGUUGCUGGACCUUUGUUAACUGAAAACCUGAUUUACCAGGGGAGAAAUGUUUGGAAUGCUCUGACCACAAAAGGAUUCUGCAGCUACAGAUGCCUUCAAAAGAGGUCUGGGACUGUGCCAGCAAAAGAGAAAGAACACAUCCACUUUCCUCCAUGGAGAGCUGGGCCUUGGUGUCCAGAGUAUCUGGGACUCUGGUAGCAGACACCUUUCCCUCCCAGCCCUCAAAGACAAGACAGGAAGGGCUCCACUGUUUCUGAACACGAGCUCCGGAGAAGAUGCCCUAGUGGGGAGAGAACCUUCAAACCACAAGAACCUUUUCCAAAACUGAGGGAUUCUUUCUCUGUUUAUAGUAAAAUGCCGGAACACAUGGCACGGUGCUGCUCAGAAACUACCCAAGACAAAGAUCCCUGGGGUUUCUGUUCUCCAGCAACUCUUGGACCCUUCAGCCAAAUACAGACAUCUAACACACAUGCAUCUAACACACAGGUAGACAUCUAACACAUAUACACAUCUAACAUACACAUAGACAUUUAACACACAUACACAAUCUAACACACACAUAUAGACAUCUAAAAAACAUAAAUACUUAUAGAACAAGGAUUAUGUAUAGACUAAAACAAGGGAGAGUGUAGGAUAUGUGAUCAAACUAUAUGAUGAGUGAUUAAAAAAACAUAGGGCCAGGGAUUUACCACAAUGGCACUGCUCCUGCCUCCCAAGUGCAAGGCCCUGAGUUCGAUCCCCGAUACCCAAAAAACAAAAAACAACAAAAAAUAUAGUAAGAGACACUUGCCACUAACCCCUCUCAAUAUACUCCUCAAAUUGAACACACUUAUACCAUCGUUCUUGCCACUUUCUGAAGCAGUUCUGGGAGUCUUCUUUCAUGUCUAUAUGAACACUGCUACUGAAAUGCCAUAAAUACAAAGCAGCCUCUUAAAAACAUGAUGGUGUGAGGGGAUGAAAAAGAAUUAAGAUGUGUUGUGGGGGCCAGGGAUUUAGCUCAGUGGUUUUGCUGCCUGCUGCGCAAGCAGAGUGACCCAAGUUCAAUCCCCGGUACCAAAACCAAACAAAACGAUGUGUACAUGUACCAACUCCCUAUGAUGAUUGUAAUCAUUAUGUACUGCGAACAUGAAGUAAUAAAAAUUGGAGACUUCCAGGAAGAUGGUGGAAUGGUGAACAGCAGAGAAAUAGUCUCUCCAAGAUUUGAUGUCCCGAUGCUGGAAUAUAGCAAUGUGAAGAACAGAAAAAGGGAGAUAGGUCCCCGGGCCCAGCAAGGAUCUGAAGUGAGAAUUGAACCCCAUGGGGAGAGUAAA